AAGUCGUAACAAGGUUUCCGUAGGUGAACCUGCGGAAGGAUCAUUACAGAGCGUGAGACUCGGCCCGGGCGUGUCCCGCGUGUCGAGUCGACCCUCCACCCGUGUUGACUUUAUCUGUUGCUUUGGCGGGCCAGGUGCCUGGCGCCGACCGGCUGCGUGCUGGCUCGUGUCCGCCAAAGACCCCAUCUAACUCGUGUUGUCGUGUGGUCUGAGGAAGAAAUAUUGAAUUGUUGAAA
rnacentral:misc_RNA from 1 species